rnacentral:rRNA from 1 species
UACAGAGGGUGCGAGCGUUGUCCGGAAUCACUGGGCGUAAAGGGCGCGUAGGCGGCUUGAUAAGGUUGCGGUGAAAGCCCGGGGCUCAACCCCGGGUCGGCCGUGGCAACUGUCGAGCUGGAGCACUGUAGAGGCAGGUGGAAUUCCGGGUGUAGCGGUGGAAUGCGUAGAGAUGUGGAGGAAUACCGAUGGCGAAGGCAGCCCCCUGGGAUAACACUGACGCUCAUGCACGAAAGCGUGGGGAGCAAACAGG